rnacentral:snoRNA from 1 species
AUUCUCUCAGCUCUGCUCAGUUACACUCGUCUCUCAUAGUGUCACUGACGUUACAAGGGAGAGAAAGCAACGGGAGCUUACAAAUGCACGGCAGGCUGGCCCUGACCCGUGGCCACCUUGUUCCUUUUUAAAGCUCGACACAA